rnacentral:rRNA from 1 species
GAUGAACGCUGGCGGCAGGCCUAACACAUGCAAGUCGAACGCCGUAGCAAUACGGAGUGGCAGACGGGUGAGUAACGCGUGGGAACCUUCCCAAUGGUACGGAAUAGCCCAGGGAAACUUGGAGUAAUACCGUAUAAGCCCGAAAGGGGAAAGAUUUAUCGCCAUUGGAUGGGCCCGCGUCGGAUUAGCUAGUUGGUGAGGUAAUGGCUCACCAAGGCGACGAUCCGUAGCUGGUCUGAGAGGACGAUCAGCCACACUGGGACUGAGACACGGCCCAGACUCCUACGGGAGGCAGCAGUGGGGAAUAUUGGACAAUGGGCGCAAGCCUGAUCCAGCCAUGCCGCGUGAGUGAUGAAGGCCUUAGGGUUGUAAAGCUCUUUUGGCGGGGACGAUAAUGACGGUACCCGCAGAAUAAGCCCCGGCUAACUUCGUG